GGCUGGAGCUGAGCAGCUGCCGUGGAAAUUUCCAUGGGCCGUCCACCAGCUCUUGAGAAGCUCUGGGACUCCACACGGCAUGAGGAGGACACGGGUUACGAAAGAGGCCCAGGACGUGGUCCCAGCCCACAAGGAGCUAGGCCCCUAGAGAGGACACUCAGAGAUGCUUGCCAAGAAAGCAAGUGAACAGCAGGUUGGAAAAUCUGAAAACAAACUUGUCAACAAGGUUAAGGCAGGGAACCAGUCAAGAAAAGGUCAAUAUCGCCUUCCAGUUGUUAGAACCCCAUUUCACCUUGCAAGGAAAAUGUUGAAAAACUUCACGUUAAGAUUGUUCCUGCAUAGACGAGACCCACCCGCGCUCAAACACCCAGCCAGAGAAGCCACAAGACAAUCUCCGUUGUCCUUGGAAGAAAGCCCGCCCUACCCACUAGGAGGGAGGGAGCCUCUCCUCCCGCAGCUGUGUUUACCCACAGCGCACGCCGCCCCUCGGGGAACACGCUGGAUCAAGGCGGACCUCGGGGACGCCAGGCUGCAGGGGUCAACGAGGAACUGUCAAGUUAGGUUCGCCUGUGGAUUUUAUAAUAAAUACCCCCUCCCCCAUUUUAGGCAUCAACAUAGAACGCCUUUUGAUUUCC
rnacentral:lncRNA from 1 species